rnacentral:rRNA from 1 species
GACGAACGCUGGCGGCGUGCUUAACACAUGCAAGUCGAACGAUGACGACCGAGCUUGCUCGGUCUGAUUAGUGGCGAACGGGUGAGUAACACGUGAGCAACCUGCCCUUCCCUCUGGGAUAACCUCGGGAAAUCGGGGCUAAUACCGGAUAUGAGCUCCUGUCGCAUGGCGGGUUUUGGAAAGUUUUUCGGUGAAGGAUGGGCUCGCGGCCUAUCAGUUUGUUGGUGAGGUAGUGGCUCACCAAGGCGAUGACGGGUAGCCGGCCUGAGAGGGCGACCGGCCACACUGGGACUGAGACACGGCCCAGACUCCUACGGGAGGCAGCAGUGGGGAAUAUUGCACAAUGGGCGAAAGCCUGAUGCAGCGACGCCGCGUGAGGGAUGACGGCCUUCGGGUUGUAAACCUCUUUCAGCAGGGAAGAAGCGAAAGUGACGGUACCUGCAGAAGAAGCGCCGGCUAACUACGUG